GACGAUGUAGAACCCUUGCAGGAAGUAGACGCGGAGGACGUAGAUGGCGGCGACGCCAAGCGUCCCCAGCCACCGGCCGACGGGGUGCGGCGUGGAUCGGUCAAGGUAGUACUGGAACGCGCGGGAGAAGUCACUCCGCCACUUGGCGAGAGGGACCGAGUCGGCGGCGGCGCCAGCGGCGCCGGAAGAUCCCUCCAUCGGGAUCUAGGGUUAGGGUUCGCUGCUCCGGAUCU
rnacentral:misc_RNA from 1 species